GAUGAAGAACGUAGCGAAAUGCGAUAAGUAAUGUGAAUUGCAGAAUUCAGUGAAUCAUCGAAUCUUUGAACGCAUCUUGCGCUCCUUGGUAUUCCUUGGAGCAUGCCUGUUUGAGUAUCAUGAGCAAACCUCAAAGUCAAUUCCUUUUGUUAAUUCAAUUGGUUUUGCUUUGGACUUGGAGGUCUUGCAGAUUUCACAGUCUGCUCCUCUUAAAUGCAUUAGCUGGAUCUCAGUAAUUAUGCUUGGUUCCACUCGGCGUGAUAAGUAUCACUCGCUGAGGACACUGUUAAAAAGGUGGCCAGGAAAAUACUGAUUGAACCGCUUCUAACGGUCUAUUAAGUUAGACAAUUACCCUGAAGUUUGAUCUCAAAUCAGGUAGGACUACCCGCUGAACUUAAGCAUAUCAAUAAGCGGAGGA
rnacentral:misc_RNA from 1 species